UAAAGAGAGCAAGUGAGGUGCCAGGAUCACGCGAGAUGGAAUCAGGCCUCGAGAGGACUGUCUUUAAGAACGGGGCUCCCAGCUUUGCCUUUGCCACUUACUAGGGGCGUGACCUUGGGCAAGUUACCUCGCCUAUACGAGCCUCAGCUUUUUCACUUGCCUUUCAUAUUGCCUCCUUGCUUUGCGACUUUUCACCAAACACCUUAGUACCAGCAUGGUCUACACUGGCUUCAAUCAUGGUGUGGCUUGGACUUGUCUAUACUCCCACCAAACAUAUUGACUGUGAGCUCACCGAGGACUCAGUUUUUGUGGUUCACCAUUCCACUGAAUCCUUAGUGAUUGUCUAACACGUAUCCAAGACUUUGUCAGACAUAUUUGCGAUUGGACCAUGAUUCUGUCUCUCAAACUUAACCCCAGACAUUUAUUGAAGUCUCAGAGCCCACUCCAUGCCCUGUUCUCUUCCUCCAUCAUGCUCUUCUACCCUUCUGGCCUCUGUGCCUCUAUAUGCUGUUCCCUCAGUGUAAAUGUUUUUCCCCCUCACCUCUUUCCUUCCCAAGAUAGAUAAGUAGAUAGAUAGAUAGAUAGAUAGAUAGAUAGAUAGAUAGAUAGAUAGUUAGAUGGAUAGACUCACUUUAAACCUGACACCCCCACAAAACCUGGAGCUCCUUACUCAUCUGUGUUUCCCCUGAGCUCUGCACGCGUCUGAUCUGGAUGUGCCCAACAGAUGUUCCUUGAUUGCAGGAUUCUCUCUCUCAGUCUUCGUGUCACCAGCUAAAGCCACUGGGUCUUGUCUCAGAGGAGCCAAUGACAAAAUACACAGGGAAACAUUUGGAGAACCAGCAACCCGCUAUUCAAACAGCAGUGAUGACUAUAUCUGUUGCUAUCUGAACACCACUCGAGGUCUUUGUGUACUUCAACCUUUAUCAGCUCAGGUUUAGGCUCCUCUCUUAAUUAUCUGCAAAGUGAUGGUGAGGAAAACUGUCCCACAGAACUCUCUGCCUUUGCAACAACUCAAAACUUUCCUUUGGAAACUGUUACAAGACUGCACAAUGGUAGCUAAGAAGUCCCUUACAGCUCUGUGGUUCUGGGGCAGCCAAAAGGGAACCAGAUUUUUAAGGAGGCUUUACUAGUAGGAAACCCUGGUCAUUGAGAUGCAGUGACAUUUUAUAUCAGAAAGGACCCAAAGUCUCCCCAAGGGAGUCAUGUUUCUCAUCUUUUAGACAGGGUUGAAGGCCUGAGAUUUCUCUGCUUGGUGAUGUGGAAUGAUAGAAGCAUCCUUUUCAGAUUUCAUUACAUAAUGAUUAGCAGAUUAUAUAAUAGACAUGUGACAAUGAUUAGGCACCUCUACUUCCUCAGAGCCAACAACACGAAAAAUCUACCUACUUCUUUCUAUUUUUUACUUUUUUAUCACAAAAAAAUAAUGCUUGAAUUUCAAUGAUACAGAUGUGUUUAGAACAAAAAAGGAAAGCAACCCUAUGACCCAGCAAUUUGAUUUAUUGGAAUCUACCAGAGAAGCAAGCAUAAGUACACAGACCUGUUGCAUCCUUGUUUGUAUUGCAAAAGCAAAAACCAAAAACAUGCUAAAUGCCCAUCAAUAGGGAAAUGAAGUAUCCAUCCUAAUGAAUACUAUGUAUCACUUAAAAAAGAUCAUGUAAACCUACCUUACUCUGCAGUACAUUUUGUGGAAUGAAAAAAGAAAGACAUCCCCGGAAAUGGAAUACAAGACAUCAACCAAUAUUAUAUAUGUUCUAAAGGGAAAUUUGGAGUCACAGAGUGGACUUUUCCAUAAAUGGUGUUGGAACAACUGGAUAGCCAUCGAGAAAAGCUAAUGUUGGAUCCACCCGUCACACCACAUACAAAAAUUAAUUUGAGACAGAUCAUAGAUCUAAAUAUAAAGGCUAAACCCACAAAACUUCUAAAUGAACAUGUUGGAGACUAUCUUUGGGCAGAUAAGGAUUUUUUUUAGGACACAAAGCCUUAACAAUAAAAGCGGGGGAAAAGAC